AACAAACGCUGGCGGCGUGCCUAAUACAUGCAAGUCGAACGGGGAAAGCUUUCGGGUGAGUACUAGUGGCGCACGGGUGAGUAACGCGUGGAUAAUCUGCCUUAGAGUGGGGGAUAACUAGUCGAAAGAUUAGCUAAUACCGCAUAAGACCACAAGAACUGCGGUUCAAGGGGUCAAAGGUUUUUCGCUCUAAGAUGAGUCCGCGUAAGAUUAGCUAGUUGGUAGGGUAACGGCCUACCAAGGCGACGAUCUUUAACUGGUCUGAGAGGAUGAUCGGUCACACUGGAACUGAGACACGGUCCAGACUCCUACGGGAGGCAGCAGUAGGGAAUAUUGCACAAUGGAGGAAACUCUGAUGCAGCGACGCCGCGUGAGUGAUGAAGGCCUUCGGGUCGUAAAGCUCUGUCGCAGGGGAAUAACACAAUGAAGGUACCCUGUAAGAAAGGAUCGGCUAACUUCGUGCCAGCAGCCGCCGUAA
rnacentral:rRNA from 1 species